UUUAGGAUUGGACUUUAUUAAGGGUUGCACUUAUUUAGGAUUGCACUUUAUGUAGGGUUGCACUUAUUUCUUAUUUAGGAUUGCAUUUUAUUAAGGGUUGCAAUUAUUUAGGAUUGCACUUUAUUCAGGGUUGCACUUAUUUAGGAUUGAACUUUAUGUAGGGUUGCACUUAUUUAGGAUUGCACUUUAUUAAGGGUUGCACUUAUUUAGGAUUGCACUUUAUUAACGGUUGCAAUUAUUUAGGAUUGCACUUUAUUCAGGGUUGCAAUUAUUUAGGAUUGAACUUUAUGUAGGGUUGCACUUAUUUAGGAUUGCACUUUGUUAAGGAUUGCACUUAGGAUUGAGCAUUAUUAAGGGUUGCACAGACACAC
rnacentral:lncRNA from 1 species